rnacentral:lncRNA from 1 species
GUUGGAACGGAUUAAUUAUAUUUUAGUUAAUUUCAAUGAGGAAAAUUGAUUUGUAAAACGAGUAAAUCGUAAGACGAGCUCGGUCAUAGAAUGAAUUAAACUCAUACUGCGAGGUAUCACUGCAUAUAUAUGUGUGUGUGUGUGUGUGUGUAUGUGUGUGUGUGUG